UGGGUGUGCUCAGAGCAGGGGUCUCAAGAAAUGGCUCGUCUGUUUACAACACACCCAACAGGAACCUGGGUUCACUGUGACAAGGGGCACAAAACUUGUGGCCUUCCUAUGAACAAAUACCCAAUAUGU
rnacentral:snoRNA from 1 species